rnacentral:misc_RNA from 1 species
GAAAUGCGAUAAGUAAUGUGAAUUGCAGAAUUCAGUGAAUCAUCGAAUCUUUGAACGCACAUUGCGCCCCCUGGUAUUCCGGGGGGCACACCUGUCCGAGCGUCAUUUCAACCCGUCAAGCUCUGCUUGGUAUUGGGCGCGGUCGUGCGACCCGCCCGAAACGCGUUGAGCGGCGCCGUCCGGUCUCGAGCGUACGAAGAGUAAAAUCCCUCGCUACGUGACCGCGGCGGCACCCGCCGGUGGAAGCACAUCAAUAGUUUGACCUCGGAUCAGGUGGGGAUACCCGCUGAACUUAA